rnacentral:rRNA from 1 species
CCCGCACAAGCGGUGGAGCAUGUGGUUAAUUCGACGCAACGCGAAGAACCUUACCAGGGCUUGACAUCCCCUGACCGCGUAUGAAAGUACGUUUUCACCCUCGGGUGACAGGGAGACAGGUGGUGCAUGGUUGUCGUCAGCUCGUGUCGUGAGAUGUUGGGUUAAGUCCCGCAACGAGCGCAACCCCUACGUUUAGUUGCUAACGCGUGAAGGCGAGCACUCUAGACGAACUGCCGUUGACAAAACGGAGGAAGGUGGGAUGACGUCAAAUCAUCAUGCCCCUUAUGUUCUGGGCUACACACGUGCUACAAUGGCCGGUACAGACGGACGCAAAGCCGCGAGGUGGAGCAAAUCCUAAAAAGCCGGUCUCAGUUCGGAUUGCAGGCUGCAAUUCGCCUGCAUGAAGUCGGAAUCGCUAGUAAUCGCAGGUCAGCAUACUGCGGUGAAUACGUUCCCGGGCCUU